CAGCAGCCACGGUAAUACGGAGGAUCCAAGCGUUAUCCGGAUUUAUUGGGUUUAAAGGGUGCGUAGGCGGCUUAUUAAGUCAGGGGUGAAAGACGGUGGCUCAACCAUCGCAGUGCCUUUGAUACUGAUGAGCUUGAAUAUACUAGAGGUAGGCGGAAUGUGACAAGUAGCGGUGAAAUGCAUAGAUAUGUCACAGAACUCCGAUUGCGAAGGCAGCUUACUAUGGUGUUAUUGACGCUGAGGCACGAAAGCGUGGGGAUCAAACAGGAUUAGAUACCCGCGUAGUCCCUGUCUCUUAUAA
rnacentral:rRNA from 1 species